UACGUAGGUGGCAAGCGUUAUCCGGAUUUAUUGGGCGUAAAGGGAACGCAGGCGGUCUUUUAAGUCUGAUGUGAAAGCCUUCGGCUUAACCGGAGUAGUGCAUUGGAAACUGGGAGACUUGAGUGCAGAAGAGGAGAGUGGAACUCCAUGUGUAGCGGUGAAAUGCGUAGAUAUAUGGAAGAACACCAGUGGCGAAGGCGGCUCUCUGGUCUGCAACUGACGCUGAGGCUCGAAAGCAUGGGUAGCGAACAGG
rnacentral:rRNA from 1 species